rnacentral:rRNA from 1 species
GACGAACGCUGGCGGCGUGCUUAACACAUGCAAGUCGAACGGAAAGGCCCUGCUUUUGUGGGGUGCUCGAGUGGCGAACGGGUGAGUAACACGUGAGUAACCUGCCCUUGACUUUGGGAUAACUUCAGGAAACUGGGGCUAAUACCGGAUAGGAGCUCCUGCUGCAUGGUGGGGGUUGGAAAGUUUCGGCGGUUGGGGAUGGACUCGCGGCUUAUCAGCUUGUUGGUGAGGUAGUGGCUUACCAAGGCUUUGACGGGUAGCCGGCCUGGGAGGGUGACCGGCCACAUUGGGACUGAGAUACGGCCCAGACUCCUACGGGAGGCAGCAGUGGGGAACAUUGCACAAUGGGCGGAAGCCUGAUGCAGCAACGCCGCGUGCGGGAUGACGGCCUUCGGGUUGUAAACCGCUUUCGCCUGUGACGAAGAGUGAGUGACGGUAACUGGUAAAGAAGCACCGGCUAACUACGUG